UCCAAUGUGGUGUAGAGGCUAACAUUGCUGUCUUUCAUAAGGCUCUUCACGUGGUAUUCACAGCAGCCCGGGGUUCGAUUCCCCGCAUUGGAA